UGGCUAUGAUGAUAGAGAUGUCAUGCACCACUCUGAUUUUACAGUGCUGAUAGUUUUCUCAUACCCAUUAUAUAUCUGAGCCU
rfam:Cicer arietinum chromosome Ca4, whole genome shotgun sequence.